CCUGCGCGUAACACCAGGGCCCAGUGGCAAGCCCGAUGGAGGAAUGAGCGCUACUAUUCGCAGCAGGGUCUUGCCAAACUCCGAGGGCAGCAGAGCAGCACCCGAGGCGGCCAGAUUUCGGAUUACCGUGGCCGCGUCGUGCUUGACAGGGACGAGUGUGCGAGGCCCAUAGUUCGGGUGGUCUGAAUCGGUGAGCCCUGCUCCAGCUGCUACUGGUGUGGCUGAAGAGGAUGUGGCCCAGGAUCUUUCCCGUGCCCCAACUCCUCAUGCCGCAGCUGCGAGAUGGGGGCAACAGGCAGGCCGAGGCGCUGGAGUUACUAGCCGCAAACACCAGGCGG